rnacentral:tRNA from 1 species
AGGCCGUUAGCUUAAUCGAAGAGCUCCCAAUUCUUUAUUGGGAAGAUGGAGGUUCAAGUCCUUCACGGCCUACCA